rnacentral:sRNA from 1 species
GCCAGGUGCAAUGGCCCACACCUGUAAUCCCAGCAGCUUGGGAGGCUGAGGUAGGAGGAUUGCAAGAGGCCAGCCUUGGCAACUUAGCAAGUUCCUGUCUUAA